UACUUCCCAGGUGGCUCGCUUCACGGCUUCCCUACGGCACCGACAACGGUCGCACCGUGGCCGACACCUAGCGAGUAUCGUUUACGGCUAGGACUACCCGGGUAUCUAAUCCGGUUCGUGCCCCUAGCUUUCGUCCCUUGCCGUCAGGUCCGUUCUGGUGAGACGCCUUCGCCACUGGUGGUCCUUCAAGGAUUACAAGAUUUCACCCCUACCCCUGAAGUACCUCUCACCUCUCCCGGCCUCGAGCCAGACAGUAUCUCCUGAAAGCCUGACAGUUAAGCUGCCAGAUUUCUCAAGAGACUUAUCCGGCCGGCUACAGACCCUUUAGACCCAAUAAUAACGGUUACCACUCGAGCCGCCGGUGUUACCGCGGCGGCUGGCACCGGUCUUGCCCGGCCCUUGCUAUGAAAUGCUUUUUAGGCAUCUCGACAGCCAGAUUUGUAACCUGGCACUCGAGGUUCCCUUAUCGCUGUUGCCAGCAUUGUAAAGUUUUCGCGCCUGCUGCACCCCGUAGGGCCUGGAUUCGUGUCUCAGAAUCCAUCUCCGGGCUCUUGCUCUCACAACCCGUACCCGUCGUAGGCUAGUAGGUACGCUACACCCA
rnacentral:rRNA from 1 species